GGCCUGGUGGCUCAGUCAGUCAGAGCUUUGUCUCAUACACCGAAAGGUUGUGGGUUUGAUUCCCAGUCAGGUCA
rnacentral:tRNA from 1 species